UACGGAGGGGGUUAGCGUUGUUCGGAAUGACUGGGCGUAAAGCGCGCGUAGGCGGAUCGCAAAGUUGGGGGUGAAAGCCCAGGGCUCAACCCUGGAAUUGCCUUCAAGACUCGCGGUCUGGAGUUCGAGAGAGGUGGGUGGAAUUCCGAGUGUAGAGGUGAAAUUCGUAGAUAUUCGGAGGAACACCAGUGGCGAAGGCGGCCCACUGGCUCGACACUGACGCUGAGGCGCGAAAGCGCGGGGAG
rnacentral:rRNA from 1 species